rnacentral:rRNA from 1 species
GACGAACGCUGGCGGCGCGCUUAACACAUGCAAGUCGAGCGAGAACCCAGGCUUCGGCCUGGGGGAAAGCGGCGAACGGGUGAGUAACACGUGGGUAAUCUGCCCUCGGCAUCGGGAUAGCCCGGGGAAACCCGGAUUAAUACCGGAUGGCCCGACAGCUCUUCGGAGCGGUCGGAAAAGGUAGCUUCGGCCUCCGGCCGAGGAGGAGCCCGCGGCGGAUUAGCUUGUUGGUGAGGUAACGGCUCACCAAGGCUCCGAUCCGUAGCUGGUCUGAGGAGGCGAUCAGGCACACUGGGACUGAGACACGGCCCAGACUCGUACGGGAGGCAGCAGUGGGGAAUCUUGCGCAAUGGGCGAAAGCCUGACGCAGCGGCGCCGCGUGAGGGAAGAAGGCCUUCGGGUUGUAAACCUCUUUCAGGAGGGACGAAGCCACUCGGGUUAAUAGCCCAGAGGGUGACGGUACCUCCAGAAGAAGCCCCGGCUAACUACGUGCCAGCAGCCGCCGUAAAAC